UUUGAUGUUGACUCUCAAAUCUCUGUCCUUACCAGUAAGCUUAACACUGACUUCUGCCAAGGGAUUUCUUAGGAGUAGCAUGCAAGUUUCUGUCAUUCACAUCAUUCAAAUAAAGUACUGGUUCUCAUUGUUCUUAAUUAUGCUUAAAAGAAUUACUGCUCAUCAGUGAUGGCAAUUUCACCUGGUUCAACUUGUACCUAGCUGCUUUUACUGGUGCAAGGCCAAGCCGAGACAUGGACCACCCCUAUUUCAGGCAGUCUGGUUCAUUAGGAAACAAUUGUUUAAAGAGAAGUCAGAAUUCAUGAUUAGGGCUUGUGACUUCUCCCUCUCCACUCUCAACUUCUCCCUCUCCACACACCCAAGCUUGUCGCCUCUUCACUGCCCACCAUGCACUGCCAGCAUGGUUUCAGCCUUUCAGGUACACUUCCUCUUCUUUCCCUCGUCCUCCAUUGCCUCCUCUUCUUCUCCUUCUUCCUUCUUCCUCCUCUUCUUCCAUCUUCUUCUUCUUCUUCCUCUGCUUUCUCUUCCUUUUUCCUCCCUUUCUCUCCCUCCCCCAACUUUUGCGGUUCGUUCGGUGUUUGUGCAUUAUGUAAUUUUGGUUACCAGACCCGUACCAGUCUGGCCAUAGACCGGCACGGGCCUGGUAACCUAAACUGCAAACCUUGCUGCUCAUAUUCCUUGCCAUAAAUUUAUGGACUUUACAUGUAUCUCUUGGACAUCUAUUUACUUUCUGGUCUAUUGCAUGGUAAAGAUCUAAGUUUUACUUCAACUGCCCUUUGUAGCCAUCAACUCCUGAUAUCUAAGAUUAUAUAUCUAUCAAUGUUUUAGAUACUGAUUGGUAUAUACUGACAAGUAUUUGCUAGUCCAAGUACCGGUAUUUAAAUGUACAGCUCGAUACAAAUACAUAUCAGUUCACUUUUAUGUUUUUAUUAUUUUAUUUGAUGGUAUACCAUCCAUUAUACAGGUACUUACAUGGUUACUGAUCUGACCAGUACUUAAAUCCUUGAUAUCUAUUAGCUGAAAUGUUGAUGACACCCUGAUGUACACUUUUUUUGAAGGUUCUGGCUUAUGCCCAGCAAUCAAGGGAGAGAUCUAGCUAUGAACAAGCAGCGCUUAUAGAAAGAAUGCAAGAGUUCAAAAGACAGAUUGAUCGAGAAAGUAGAUGGUCUGCAAAUGGGUCAAACGAUUCUCCCAAUGGAGAUGGCAUACAAGCUAUUGGAAGGAGUUCUCAUAAAAUGAUAGAGGCAGUGAUGCAGACAGCUGCAAAAGGGAAGGUAACAUACUUGAUUAUGUUCCAUUUUGCAUAGCUUUAUUUAUUAAAUUGUAGAAAAUCGAGAGCAACUUUUGAAACUUAUGGAUUUUAAAGAUUCAUGUCACUUUCCUGUUCUCAGGUUCAAACUAUUAGACAAGGUUAUCUCUCAAAGCGCUCUUCAAAUCUAAGAGGUGAUUGGAAGAGAAGGUUCUUUGUUCUUGAUAGUCGGGGCAUGUUAUAUUAUUAUCGUAAACAGUGGAGCAGAUCAUCUGUAAGUUUAUCUCAGUUGAAUGUAACACUGAGAACAGUGGUUAAAUUAGCAACCAUGUGCAUAACUUGACUAGGGUGCUUUCAUUUGAUCUUACCCUUUGAAUAUGCUUCAUAAUUUAGGGAGGUCACCAUCCUAACCAGAGAGGUCAUAAUUCCUCUGAACAUGGUCCCGGACUGCUGAGUCGAUGGUUUUCUUCUCACUAUCAUGGUGGUGUACAUGAUGAGAAAUGUGUUGCACGUCAUACUGUAAACUUGCUAACAUCAACAAUAAAAGUUGAUGCAGACCAGUCAGAUCUGCGUUUCUGCUUCAGGAUUAUAUCACCGACAAAGAAUUACACUUUGCAGGUAGAUUGUUAGACCUCCAAGAAGAGUGAACUUGUAAUUCAAUUUCAUUUUCUUGUGACAUUUGCAAAACGUGCCUCAAGCAGGGGAGUUACAUUGUGUAAUGUGGUUUCUUAAAAUGAGCUUUUUUCGCCACUUGUUUCUGAACUUAAUGUCUAGGUUGUUUUUAUCAUUGUUAUACAUCAAAAGCUAGUUUCUCUUCUGGACUACUCAAUACAUUUUCUUUUUUUCUUUGGUUACUACAGGCAGAGAGUGCCAUGGAUCAAAUGGAUUGGAUUGAAAAAAUAACUGGUGUUAUUGCUUCUCUGCUAAGCUCUCAGUCACCUGAACAGGUUGGUGAGGAAACAUUUAUUUGCUAGCAUGUCUGGUAGUAAAUGGGUUCAUCUAUGAAGUUGCUCUUGAAUUUAUUUCAGCGCCUUCUCACAAGCCCCAUGAGCGGUGGCCACCAUCGAGCAGCCAGUGAGAGUAGCUCAUUUGGUAGCUCAUGUGAUCUUGAUCAUUUAGCAAGUGAAGAAUCAUCAUUGGAAAAAUGCAGCAUCGGUGGCCAUUUUGACUGUUCUAUUAGGAGCUCACAACAGUAUAGGUUCAACUCAAAGCAUGAGAAGCCAAUUGAUGUGUUACGAAAAGUCUGUGGAAAUGAUAUAUGUGCUGACUGUGGUGCUCCUGAACCUGACUGGGCAUCCCUGAACCUUGGAAUUCUGCUUUGCAUUGAGUGUUCUGGGGUUCACCGCAAUCUUGGUGUGCAUAUAUCAAAGGUAAGCCUUCGAUUGGUAGUAUGCCUACAUGUAUGACUAUUCUGUCUUGCUAUUUUGGAUGCAGAAACCUGUCUGGUAUCUCACAUUAGAAAAGCAUGAAUUUAUUGGCACACUUAAAUGUCUACAUGCUUUAGUUGUUCUUCUGCUGAAAUUCAAAUUAUUUUUUACUAGGAAAACUGUUACUUUAUCUUUAUUGGUGAAACUUCAAGGAACUCAUUAAUUUUCUAGAGAAAAGUAUUUAGUGGCUAAUCCAUGUGAAACUUGUGUCAUAUAUGACUCUUGGUUAUUUAGUUGCUUUGAGAUGAUCAGUGCCCCUAAUAGUAAAGCUUACCAUUUCCCUGUUCUGGAACUUUUUAUAUGUGUGAAAUCAGUUAUGGAAAAAAAUAAUGGAUAAAUAAUUGAGGAUCAAUUACUAAUUUAUUAAGUCAUGAAAAGUACAUUGGACAUCACAGAGGGACAAACUGUCUGACCUCAUAAACCAAAUCCAACUUGAUUGUUUUGUUUGAACAAAAGACAAACACAUCUAUUUCUAUAAUGAUUAAUGUCGACUCUGGUCCUGAAUCUGAAAUUCGAACAACCUUUGGACUAAUUUUGACUCCUUAAACUUGAGUUGUGUUUUGGAUCAUGAUUGUGCAAAUUCUUAUGCAUUAUAUUAUCAUCUCAACUUUCAUUUAUACAGUUCUGUUUUUCUUUAGUUUAUUACACAUUCCAAAUCUUAGAGAGUUAAAUGGUAGCAUGGUACGACUCAAUUACUCAUGAGGAUCUAUAAAUUUUUCCAAGAGCUAAUGCUUCUGCCAUUUUAGAAUCGCUUGUCUGGGAAAAUCAUGUGCCUACUGCAUUAAGAGGAAUUGAAUAGUUGGAAAUUGAUUUUAUGACGAUCGCUUGCAGGAGUCAUCUUGACUGAUAUAUACAGUGGUUGCUGAUACAUAAUAGCAAGAUGUAUUUGGGACCAGCGUUAAUGGGCUCGCUCCAUGUUAAUGACAGUUUGUAAAAUUAUGUUUUCCAUGGAUCCUAUUAACUUUGAAUUUUGCUAGAUGACUGACCACAUAUGAAGACUAUGAUGAUGGGUCAAAUACACCAACACCUAGUGAUUUUUAGUUUACUAGUAGCUGUAACAAUGCGACUGUAAACUACUUGUUCAACAAUUGAUCAUUGUAGAUGCUCAUAUGUGGAGGAGACUUUGACCUUAUGUAUUAAGUCUUUGUCGGAGACUGAUAAUUGACAAUUUUGCUUGGAGAGUUGGAUAAGUAGUGAUCCUUGUGGAGAUAUGAUAAUUUUUUUUACCAUUGCCUAUUUAUAUGGAUUAGUGGGCUGGUUGGACCCCAUAUAUUUGCAAUUGAAACUUGAGUGUCUAGCUUUGCCAAGCCAGAAUGAGUACAUAACUAUGUUAUACUUGGUUAUUUUUAUUAGAUGGAACGCUAUUUAACUAAAGCCCCUUAGAAAAUUGUAUGUUAUGAACCAACCUUGCUUUUUGGGGUUUGAGGCUUGGCCUAUGGGCAACCCUGACUGCAGUAUAUUUUAUUUUGUUCUGCAACAUUUUGUAGGUAUCUUUUCCAGGCUAAAUGGUUUUAGUAAGUUCAUUCAUUUGCAUGUUCAUGGGUUUUCACCAAGGCACUGCAAAGUGACAGUGAUUUAACAAAUCUGAAAUUGCACAUUUCAAUUAGGCCAACUGCAACUAGCUAUGCUCAAAAUUACUGUGGAAGCUUUUAAAAGUCCAAAUACUUGUGAAUACUUGCAAACACCAUAAAUAGAGAUGCCAUAUAUAAAGGUCCAGGCCUUGACCACCUCACAAUGAAGCUCUGAAUAACUCAAUCCCUUUGAGUAAUUGAUUAUCUGAAAUUACACUCAGAACUUGUAUUUGAACAUAAUGCACCUAGUUAGAAACUUUGUUAAUGCAACAAAUAUAACUUGCUUUUUAUUGUCUUGGUUGGAGGGAGUAUGAAAUUUACCUUGCCUAGGAAAAUAGAUACUUUGUCAAUUAUAUCCUCUGUGGUUCCUUAAAUUUCAAUUAGGACAAAUACUAUGCAAGAAAAAUAAAAGGAGAGUACCUGCAGUUAGUUUUGAUCUUCUUUUAACUGUUAAUUAGCUUAUGCUGAAGAAUUUAGGUUAGCUGAUUUCUGAUUAAUCAUUAUAAUGUUUGUUGUCAGUUUUCUUUUCAAUUUUUGGAUAGCUUUAAAUAUUUAUAAUUAUGUUCUGUUUCUUACAGGUGAGAUCUCUAACUCUUGAUGUUAGAGUAUGGGAGCCUUCUGUUAUCAAUCUAUUUCAAUCACUGGGCAAUACGGUUGCCAACACCAUCUGGGAAGAAUCAUUUCCAUCGACAAGCAACGGCAAAUGUGAGAAUGUCUCAAGGUACCAAUAAACCUGGCAGAAAUUUUCUAGCAAUUCUUGCUUAAAUUUUAAAAACUUGUAAAUGUGUGUUAUGCAGUUUCUGUAUUGUUGACAAGACUCAAGGAUAUUACUGUAUCAAUAAGCCUAAACAUUCAGAUCCAAUUACAGUGAAGGAGAAGUUCAUUCAAGCAAAGGUAUUAUACCAUUUAUUUGUCAGUCUCAGAGUUCAAUCAAUCAAGGCCCCUUUGUGUUUGUUGAUGACAAACAGCACAGAUUAUUGGAAGGAGGCUUUGUGUUCUACCCCUUUUUUGCAUAUGUUCAAAUCUUUGAGGCAAAUGCAAAUUUUUCUUUAAUUUGAACUUUGAUCUUCUGGAGAAGGCAGAGGUUGUCUGUGGGAAUUAGCAAGAACAUGAAGCUUUUGGGACAUGCUGACGAAAUAUUAGAUGAUGCAAAGAUGUUAGUUAAUCAGCUACUUUUUAGCAGAUAAUAGAUUUACACUGAUGAUGGGACUGAAUUAUUUUUAUGUUGGGCAUAAUCAACAACGCUUCCCUGAAGUAAUUGCAUAUCUUAAAAGAAGUUGGAAGUUCACUAAAAUCUUUAACAUCAUCAGCCUUCGUUAAAUCAGUCUACAUUUUGUGAAUUAUGUAAUAAUGGAUUGAGAAAUUCCAUCAACGUACAGAGCAGUUGUCACGAUUAGAUGUGACUUGGAUAAGCAACAUCCAUAUUGAUAUCUCGUAUCAGUAAGGAUUUGAUAUAUGCUAUCACAUUGUUCUAAUAGUGUAUAAAAAUGAAUGUUAUUCAGAUUGCAUAAGCAAAGCUUUUGAGUAAUUAUUUUCUUUUGACAGCAUAAUUAGUCUGGAGGCGUGCAAGAGCUAAAUUUUCUUGUUUUUGUGUGUUGAUAUAUUUCCAUGGUACAUAUUACGUCUCUGUGUUCUGUGCAAUAGACCAUUUAGCUUGGAGUCUAUUUGAUUGCAGGGAAAAUGUUGAAGUAUGUCCAAACUCAAAAAUAAAUAAGUGUGUGAAAAGAAAAGGAAAAUUGACUUUAAACUUCUUCUCUUUUCCCUAGUAGGAACUAGUACAACUUGAUUUUUCUUGUAAAAGUGGGUUGAAAAUUAAUGCAAAGAGGAAUUUGGUGAACUUAUAUCUUUGUGUGUUGCUAGCUUUUCUAGAAAUUCUGGAACUCUUUUUGGUUCUAUUUUUUUGGUUUUCUAUCACACUGAUAUUGGGAAAAAAAAUUUGUAGGAACUUUUUUUGCAGGAAAUCUGGCAUAUAACCAGAUAUGAGAAAGUUGGUCUCCUUAAAAAUGAACUUUUUCCAAUGAAAAGGAGAAGAAAAGGAAUAAUAAAAAAGAAAAAAAAGAAAAAAAGAAAAAGGAAAAACGAAAAGGGUUGGGGGGAUAUUUGCUUCUCAGUUUGUAUGCCAAGUAGCUUAUAUUGCAUUUCUGAUCUUUGGAGUCUAGGAAAAGGUGAAGAGUUUACUUUGUUGCUUUUAUUGCAUGACAUAAUGAAGCCUGAUGAUACACUGGUACUUGAAAAGAAUUGUCAGGAAAAUGCCAGAUCCUGAAGACAUCUCUGUGCAAUUCAAUAAAUGCUAUGCAGAGGC
rnacentral:lncRNA from 1 species